AUUGAACGCUGGCGGCAGGCUUAACACAUGCAAGUCGAGCGAGAGGAGGACGGGUGAGUAACGUAGGGAAAACUGCCUGCUGGAGGGGGAUAACUCCUGGAAACGGUAGCACAUACCGCAUACCAUCAGCAGUGCCCAGAUGGGCUUAGCUAGUAGGUGGGGUCAUGGUUCACUUAGGCGACGAGCACUAGCUGGUCUGAGAGGAUGACCAGCCACACGGGAACUGAGACACGGUCCAGACUCCUACGGUAGGCAGCAGUGGGGAAUAUGGCACAAUGGGCGAAAGUCUGAUGCACCCAUGCCGCGUGUGUGAAGAAGGCCUUCGGGUUGUAAAGCAGUUUCAGCGAGGAGGCGUUACUCGCAGAAGAAGCACCGGCUAACUCCGUGCCAGCAGCCGCGGUAAUUC
rnacentral:rRNA from 1 species